rfam:Salmo salar isolate Sally breed double haploid chromosome ssa01, whole genome shotgun sequence.
UCCCGUGUGGCUCAGUUGGUAGAGCAUGGUGUUUGCAAUGCCAGGGUUGUGGGUUCGAUUCCCACGGGAG